UACGGAGGGGGCUAGCGUUGUUCGGAAUCACUGGGCUUAAAGGGCGCGUAGGCGGGCGGCCAAGUCAGGGGUGAAAUCUUUCGGCUCAACCGGAAAAUGGCUUCUGAUACUGGUCGUCUUGAGUGAGGUGAGGGGCAGUGUGGAACUUCCGGUGGAGCGGUGAAAUGCGUAGAUAUCGGAAGGAACGCCGGUGGCGAAAGCGACGUGCUGGACCUCUUCUGACGCUGGAGGCGCGAAAGCUAGGGGAGCAAACGGG
rnacentral:rRNA from 1 species